UACGUAGGGGGCGAGCGUUGUCCGGAUUUAUUGGGCGUAAAGAGCUCGUAGGCGGUUCGAUAAGUCGGACGUGAAAUCUCCACGCUCAACGUGGAGGGGCCGUUCGAUACUGUCGUGACUCGAGUCCGGUAGGGGAGUGUGGAAUUCCCGGUGUAGCGGUGAAAUGCGCAGAGAUCGGGAGGAACACCCGUAGCGAAGGCGGCACUCUGGGCCGAUACUGACACUGAGGAGCGAAAGCGUGGGGAGCGAACAGG
rnacentral:rRNA from 1 species